rnacentral:tmRNA from 1 species
GGGGGCGAAAGGAUUCGACUUAGAUGCCUAAGUAAGAGCGGCAUAUCGAGGUGUCUGGAGGCCUCGCAAAACACCAGACAAAAUAUAAAUGCCAACUAUAAUCCAAUAGCAGAAGCAGAAGGAAUUUUGACUUCUGAGGCAUUAGUUACUGUUUAAUCAGUAGCGGUUCGCUUAAUUUGCCUGUGGGUUAAGAUGAAUUAAUAAAGCAGGAUAGCCAAUUAUCUUUUCCUGAAGGAUAGGCGGCGAAAUUUUUUUGGGAUAGCUUCUUUUUUAUCCUGCCUGUUGGAGAUUAAAGAGGUGAAUUUAAACAAUAGGCUAUGUAUGUAGAUGCUCCUACAAGAAGUAUUUAGGGACCGGGGUUCAAAUCCCCGCGCCUCCACCA